rnacentral:rRNA from 1 species
UACGUAGGGGGCAAGCGUUGUCCGGAAUCAUUGGGCGUAAAGAGCGUGUAGGCGGUCCGGUCAGUCGGUUGUGAAAGUCAAGGGCUCAACCCUUGAAUGCCGGCCGAUACUGCCGGGCUAGAGUCCGGAAGAGGUCGAGUGGAAUUCCUGGUGUAGCGGUGAAAUGCGCAGAUAUCAGGAGGAACACCAAUGGCGAAGGCAGCUCGCUGGGACGUGACUGACGCUGAGACGCGAAAGCGUGGGGAGCAAACAGG